rnacentral:lncRNA from 1 species
AAGAAUCUAUUUCAAUUCCGAAAUUCACUUUAUACACAUUUGUUUAUACUAAGUUUUCACGAAGUAGGUUGGUUUAUGGUUUUUAUAAAAAAUUCCGUUCUAUUUUACUCUGAAAAUUUUACACAAUAUCUUAGAACAUAUCUGUAUCUACAGUAAAAUUAUUAUAUAUUUAGAAGAUCUUAACUAUUUGUCAGCAAAAUGUAUUCUAACAACUUCAGUUUCGGCCACAGGGAAUUAUUGUCAGUAGCUCGGUUUAUGAAUAUUUUUAUUAAAAAUUUCUGUAGUAAGUUUAACUCUGAAAACUUUUACACAAACACAUUAGACACUAUAUGUAUCUACAUUAAUGUAAUUAUAAUUUUCUAAAACUAUUUAAAUAUUUUAAGAAAUUCUGAAAACUUCGCAGUUUUGCACAAUUAAGUUUACUGAAGCAGUUUAGUUAUAAAUAUUUUGGGUAUUUAAAAUCAUUUGAUAAAUUUAUGAAAUUAAAUAAUUAGUGCCUAUCAAGAAUUGUUCACAUAUAAAAUAUGUAAUUUUCAACUAUGUACUAUUUUCCCAAAUCGUAAAGUUUUGUUCAAACUACUUAAUUUUUCUCAUUCGAAUCGUACUGUGUAAAUGUAAAUUUGUGUCAAAUCACUUAGAGUAUUAAUUUGACAAAAUGUUCUAAAUGGAAGAUGUUUAUCGAUAAUUUGAUAUCUUUCAACGCAACUUAAACACAAUUAUUCGGAACCUCGUAUGAAUAACAGUUAUGAUGCAUAAUACAAUUGCAUUCAAGAGAUUCAAUAAUGAUUUCUUCCUAUUCAAACUUCUGAUCUUUUAACAUUAUUAUAUAUGCAAGUAUUUUCUAGGGUAUUAGAAGAAAAACUAAUAAUGAAACAUGAAAUGAAAUUGAAUAUACUUAGAACAAAAUUGAGAGCAAAUUUGACUCUAUCUUCUCCUCCUCUCGCUCUCUCAGCUUCUCUCCUUCUCCCAAAUUUUCCGAUGCUGAUCUUCUUAUUAUUUUAAAAACCCCCCCUUCUCCCACACACUACAUCACACUGCACCACCCUCUCUCUGUCGAACCGAAAAUGAUGGAGCAUGUGUUGUCACACUCCACUGUUUUUGUUAUUGGGGGAUAAUUACCUUUUGUCCCUCCAGUUUGCAAGUCAUUACAUAUCUAACAGUAAUAUUAAUCUUAUCCCUAAGUUAUAAAUCUUCAAAUUUUAACCCAAAAGUAUUAAAUGCUUAAAUUAUAAUUCCAUAUUCUAUUUCUGAAAAAAAAAAAAAUAAAGACAAUGAAGGCGGGAUUUACCAUUCUCCCCCCACCUUAGAAGAUUGGGUCCUCCACACCUAUCGAACUUCGUAUUUAGCUGUAUUAUGAUUCUGUUCACAAUCUAUAUUAUCAAUUCUAUUAAUAUACAACAAUAACAAUGUAUAAUUUAACUUUUACCUUUGACUCAAACAGGGUCGGGUUAUUUUCUGCCCGCUAGUCGUACUUGCUGUUUUUCCAAGUUGCUUUUCUCCCGGUAGUUCUGAUUCUCCACACCAGUAGACUUUGGACCAACGGACUUAUUUUACUUCUAAGAUUGUUUACCUCGGCGAAUCCAUAAUGCUCACUGGUCGUUCAUCAUCCCCGCAAAAUUCUUUUUCUAAUGCUACACGGUGGUUGUUCCUACCAAUGGGAGUCGGAUCGCAACUAAUUUCUAAGCAUUGCACAUGGAAAAUGUCGUGAAACAUUGCACAUUUGGAGUCCGUCAAGGCAAGUACGAAUACGUAACGGUCUAUCUUCUCCAGAUUUCAAAUGGCUCCAAGCCACUAACGGGAUUUAAUUAUUCCCAUCUUCCGAAUCUUACCACUCCCUUCAUUGGUGAGAUUGUAAAAACACCCAAUCACCUUCUUGGAAUUUAACUCUCUUUCUAUUUGACAUCUGCCGAGCCUUCUUGCUCGCUCUGUUGGCAACCUUCAAUCGAUAUGAAUCAUUUGAUCUUUUCUGUCGUUCCAGCACGAUAUCCGGCCAGUGAAGUAAUUUCUUCUCUCCCAACUUCUGUCCAACAAAGACGGUGACUACCCUUCCUGCCGUAUAAUGCCGAAAGGUGCAUACCGAUACUCGCUUGAUAGCUAUGUGGUAGGGCAUUCCGCCAACGCUAGAGGUUCCUCCACCUUCCGUGAAAUUCCAUGUGCACAUGCUCGUAGAAAUCUUCUAAGUUGGUAUCGGAGUUCCUUGACUGUGAAUUUGUUGCCGCCUCACAUAGUUGUGGUAAUAUGAACACUCGGCACGCGUACUAGAUAAUUUAGCGUUUAUGCCCCUCGCACACUUUUGGAUACUGAUUGGCUUGAUUAAAUACUGUAACUCUUGACAGUGAGAUACAAAUCUUGAACUCCCGAUUGAAGAAUUGAUACUGGGCUCCAUGAAGUCGAACAAUCUGCUCUAAGUAGAUGCCGCCAUUUGAUCCAAUCGUAUGUGUAUUCCUUGAUUGGAUAUUAUAACAUGAGCAGACGUUGGUCAAACGGUCGCCGAUGACCCCAAAUUGAAUUAUUCCCUUUCAGGUACGAGAGAAACGACACGUAGUCCAUGUGAUGUCCUCCCAUUUCCACUUGAUAUUUGGCAAUGGUGAGUAGUCCUGCUGGGUUUCUGGCGUAUCGCUGAUCCUCGGACAUGUAAACAUUUGCUGACGUUACUCCCUAAUGUCUGUUUCAUGCCCAUUAGCAACACCGAAUGUACAAUUCUUUAAAUCUUGUUACAUUCCAUCAUUCCGGCUGAAUUGCCCACUUCGACUGGUGUCCUUCUUCCAUAAUCUGCUGCUGAGGUCUAAAAUGGUUAGGCAACGCCACUAGUUCUGUCACAAUUUGAACACCCCACGUAUCUUGAAACUCGUAUCGGUAAGUGUCGUCGCCAAGUUAUCAUAAAAUUUUUUUUUUUUUUUUUUUUUUUUUUUUUUCACCCCCUUGGAGGUUUGGAUCCGCCAUUUGUUGAAGAUUUAAUCUCAUUGUCAUCAAUUGCUCUGCGCUAAUCGUUGCACAUAGACUCCCAAUUCCAUCGUCUUACCACUUCCAACUCUAGUGUCCGCCAUUUAAUUUAUGUAGACAUCACCUGUGUUCUGUAAUUAAUGCAUUCAGCUCCCCCGUUUGCCCUCUUCCGACUUACGUUGAACGCAGUCUGCUUAUACGUUUCGCCUUUCCCGUGGUGGUGUGAAUUAUGAUGAUGUCAUAGUCUUUCAUUCAUAUAGCUCCAAGCCAUCUUCGUGCCUACGGUUUAACUCCUGGUUUCUCUAGUGAAAAGUUAUACUUCAACCUCUUUGUAGGUCGGUUAUAGAUUUCACAUUUCACUCCAUAUAAGUAAUGCCGCAAUACUCUUCAAAGGCCAAAAUAACUGCCGCACUCUCGAUCGUGAGUAGGGUAGUUCUUCUCAUGUUGACUUCAAAUGCCGAGAAGCGUAUGCAAUAACCUUCCGUAUUUGCAUCAACACACAUCCCAUCCUUGAAGUGCGAAUCGUAGAAAUCGAAAAUCCUUCAGUGCCUCUGGCAAUUUAAGGAUUGGCGCCGUUAUGUCAGUUCUAUUCUUUAGUUCAUGAAAACUUUGUUCAGGUUUUUAAUGUCCAUUAACCAAUGAACGGUUCUUCGUUGCGGGCAACUCCGUCAUGUACCGCACUUUUUGAAAAUGCUUGCAAAAAUCUUCGAUAAUAUCAGAAAAAGUCCGACAAAAAUUUCGAACCUCAAACACUGUCUUGGGUUGUGGCCAUCAUGAUGCCUUAAGCUUUUGUGGUCCACCGAGAUCCCAUCCUUGUGAUAAUAUGCCCACAAUAAAAAUAACACACUGUUAGCCAAAGGUGUCGCAAUCUGAAUUAUUUGAAUUACAACUUUUGUCAUUUCAGCGUCUGUAAUUACCAAUCCUCAAAUGUUCCGAGUGUUGAUCCUCACCUUUGAAUAAAAAGAUGUAGCUAUAAUACAAUGACUGAACUCAUUCCACAAAAUUCUUAAAAAUCGAUUCAUCAAAUCCAUAAAUCGGCUUGGCGUAUUAGACCACGUAAAAAUGGCAUUACCAAGAACUAGUCCUGUCCAUUUAUAGUAGGGUCUAAAUGACAGUUUCUUUUCUAUGUCAUCCGACUUGAACCUUGAUGUUGAUGGUUCCCAGAACGCAAAAGAUGUCUGUUUAGAAAAAAGUGACUUGAAAGCCGCCCCGUAACAAUUGGUCACAAUAAAUCAAUCGAUCACCUUGGUAACGGAUUAUAUUUUCUUAAUGAACUUUGUUCAAUCUCGGCGUAGUCGAACAUAAUAUCAUGUACCGUCCUUCAUUCUUCACAAAUAACACCGGUGCUCACCAUGGUGACGAACUCGGUGUAUGAAACCUGUGUCCAAUAAUCUUGUAGUUGAACUUCAACUCUUGUAAAUCCGCAGGAGCCAUGCGAUAGGUGCUUUAUAGAAAUUUGGUGGUCCCUGGCACACUUUCCCCAUGAAAAAAUUCAUAUUCCCGUCCACAGGCAUCCUGGGCAACUCCUCAGGAAAUCCUCAGGAAAUUACGAACGAACUAUAGGAAUGUCCAAUGUAGAUAAGUCCUCUAAUGCAGGGUGCCGACUGUGGACACAAUACAUAAGUAUCCUUGGACAACCCUUACGUAAGAGUCGUUGGGCACAAAGCCAUGGAUACAAAAAUAUGGGGAGUUUAUCACCGUGCUCCCUGCCAGUCGAACUCUUCUGUUUGCGUUCAUAACCUUAUACAUUUAAUAUACACAGUGUAAUUUCGUUCGCCACGACGACCAAUUCUUGGACAAACCAAGGUCAUCCGCGAAAAUGACAUCGAAAUUGUCCCAUCUCCAAGGGUAUCAGAUCGGUAGGUACAUCUUCUCACGAUUACAUAACCUACAAUCUCGAUAGACCAUUGAACAACAACACCCUUACUCAUGGGUUGGAGACACUACUAAUUCGUAGCGUAUGUUUUCAGGUAGAUUAUUACUAACAUGCAAAUCGUAAAUACUGUACGACACAAAAGUGAUGUGAUGAUCUGUGUCAAAUAAUCCGAAGCAGGUAAAGAACAUAUUGUUAGAUUACCGACACACAUCUUCAUUAUUCUUGGCAUCUCCUGAGCAUCAGGCCAAACAUCGUCCUUGCCCUCUUCAUAUCCACAUCCACCCGGUUCUCUUGGUCACGGCCUAAUAUUACUGGUCUUGCAUUUCACCUCCUGGUACUAUUGCUCAGACCCUCAAUUUUGGGAAGUUCGUCUAUGUGACCUAUUUUCAUUACAAUGGAAAACAUCGGAUCUCAUUUCUGCCUUAUAGCUCUAUCUUUCCAGCAAUCUCCCCAAUGGUAUUUCCGCUUAUAGAAAACGUCGGUGCUCGUCCCCUGUAGAUUCUUGCUUGAUUCUUUGAAUCAACAAAUUUGGUCUCUGCUAUUGUACACUCGUCCCUUCGUUAAUUUGAAGUUCUUUUUCCUUUGCUGUCAAAAAAUUUGCCUUUCAAUAUGUCUUGCUCCACUAUAAAUCGCACGAUCUCGCACUGCUGCGUUAAAGUUGGCAAACACCAGUGGUUUAUCGCCCUCUUGAUCUCGUAUCGUAGACCGUCUCCGAAUUUCGAGCCCUAUUUCAUCCGUGGCACCAAAUGUGGCGGCAUAUCAGCAGCUAGUGAAUGACGCUUCAUACUCGGAAAUGUCGUUCCUUCUGUUCAUCGUUCAAAAUCUCGCACACUUUGCCAUUCUGCACUGCCCUCGGUACAAAUUUAGCCUUGAAGUAUUGCUAAGCGUUUAAAACGGGGCCAAUUCUCAUUGGCUCUCUAACUCCUUUUAGAUUCCACCCUACAGGCUUCACCUGUUAAUAAGUACGAACCAAUUCACUUUCUCCUGCUCCCCACACUUCAAUAGUCGAAAGGGUUUCUCCACUCCGAUAGGCAAAUCAUUAGCUUCCACGGAUCCAUUCGCCCUUGAAAGUUGGCGGCUAAGUUUCAGGAAAGAAUGUCGGCACCAUGUAAACAUUCUUCACUGAUAUAGCGGGUCUUCCCUAUACUCUGACGUCUCUCUGCGGUGUCGAACUUUCUCCCCCCCAGAAUAGUGAUUCUUGCUUGUGGUGGUUGAAGGUGGGUUGCAUGUGCUGUUGAAAAUAAGUUGUUGGGCAAGCCAUCGCUCCCACUAGUGCCUACCAUGUCUUCUUAGUUCGUUCAUCGAGUAUUGGUGUUUUCAUUCUCCCUAUCUCAAUUGCGCUAGCUCGCGUGUUUACAAUCUCUAUUAUCAAAUGAAUGAUAAAUGUGUUAUUAAUAAUUAUUGGAAACAUAUCAUAUAUUGCACGUAAAUUAUUUAUUAUUAUUUAUUUAUUAUUUAAUUCUAUUUAUUUUUUAACCAAUUUUCACCACCAAAAGUUAUCUACGACGAUGUGGAUGUUUAAAACUAGCUAUCUGCCUUAGGUAGCGUCGGACAAACGUUAUUCAAACAAAACUCCAAUCUGCCACUCGGACAAAGGAUUCAAUGGUAUUGUCCCCUAGGUUACUAAUGUGUUUAUAUAAACCCUACCCUGCUUUAGAAUACCUAUUUUCAGUCUGGUUAUUAUAAAAUCCGUAAACUAAGCCGAUACCACUUCGUUCGAUCCCAACACAAUUAUACAUGGGGUCACCUUAUGUUUGUACUAUCGUGGACCGGCCAAUGAGAUCCACUCACUAAGGCUAUUUCUCAAUUCAGUUUAGGAUUGUCUAAUAUUCAAAGUACUAUACUUGACAACAAUAAAUCAUGCGAAAAUAAUUCCAAAAUACCAGGAGCUGAUAGUGUCAACAAUUAAUUAUAAAAACUCUUACAUUCGAUCCUGAAUAAAAUAUGAGCAAAACAAUUCUAUCCAGAAUAUUGGUACAAUCUUAAAUAAAAACUCUACAUUCAGAUUUAUAUUCCUAUACUGAUUUUAUAGUAUAGGUCUUCCACAAUCAACACUAGGUACCCGCCCAUCAAUUGGUUCCACUUCGUUCCAAUACCUGGAAGUUUACGUAACGACUACGUCUUAAGCACUCGGCUAGUGUUUUGAGUAAAGUAUAUUAAAACAUACAUGUGCCCAUGAAGUAACAACAUCAAAUCGUUUUACUUAAAAUAAUAUUUUCUUGUCAAAGCAUCUUGUGUCCAAACCAUUGGCUCACUAAUUUUUUGGCCAAAGGUCCCUUGAUAUAACAUAUCAAAAUCAUAAAUCAUAUCGAUUGACAACUUGCGACACACUCCGUUCAACGAUCACCAGUAAUUAGGGGAGCGACCCCAAUAAAUAAAUGCAUGAUAUAGCAUCCUAAAUAUCUGCAAUGAUCUCCUAUUUCUCAUACCCGUGUAUUUUUUUUCCUAGCGUCGGGCACGUUUUAGAAACAUGUUGCGUCUAAAAAAUAAUAUUUUCACAAAGUAUACAUUUUCACAUUUCAUGGCACAAUUAAAAACAUAGCAUGCUUAAACUAAAAAUAUAGUUUAAAACUACAACGCGCUAUCAUUAUCCAAAAUAAUUUUAACGUAAGUAAAAAUAACCAAGGCUCACCUUAGCGUAUCUACGCCCUUCUCGUAUCCCACUGUAUGCUAGAUUGAGG